GAAUAUUGGACAAUGGGCGAAAGCCUGAUCCAGCCAUGCCGCGUGUGUGAAGAAGGUCUUCGGAUUGUAAAGCACUUAAAGUUGGGAGGAAGGGCAGUAAGCGAAUACCUUGCUGUUUUUACGUGACCGACAGAAUAAUCACCGGCUAACUCUGUUCCCUCAGCCGCUGUAAGACAGAGGGUGCAAGCGUUAAUCGGAAUGACUGUGCGUAAAGCGCGCGUAGGUGGUUCGUUAAGUUGGAUGUGAAAUCCCCGGGCUCAACCUGGGAACUGCAUCCAAAACUGGCGAGCUAGAGUAGGGCAGAGGGUGGUGGAAUUUCCUGCGUAGCGGUGAAAUGCGUAGAUAUAGGAAGGAACACCAGUGGCGAAGGCGACCACCUGGGCUCAUACUGACACUGAGGUGCGAAAGCGUGGGGAGCAAACA
rnacentral:rRNA from 1 species